rnacentral:rRNA from 1 species
AUCAUUACAGUAUUCUUUUUGCCAGCGCUUAAUUGCGCGGCGAAAAAACCUUACACACAGUGUUUUUUGUUAUUACAAGAACUUUUGCUUUGGUCUGGACUAGAAAUAGUUUGGGCCAGAGGUUUACUGAACUAAACUUCAAUAUUUAUAUUGAAUUGUUAUUUAUUUUAAUUGUCAAUUUGUUGAUUAAAUUCAAAAAAUCUUCAAAACUUUCAACAACGGAUCUCUUGGUUCUCGCAUCGAUGAAGAACGCAGCGAAAUGCGAUAAGUAAUAUGAAUUGCAGAUUUUCGUGAAUCAUCGAAUCUUUGAACGCACAUUGCGCCCUCUGGUAUUCCAGAGGGCAUGCCUGUUUGAGCGUCAUUUCUCUCUCAAACCUUCGGGUUUGGUAUUGAGUGAUACUCUUAGUCGAACUAGGCGUUUGCUUGAAAUGUAUUGGCAUGAGUGGUACUGGAUAGUGCUAUAUGACUUUCAAUGUAUUAGGUUUAUCCAACUCGUUGAAUAGUUUAAUGGUAUAUUUCUCGGUAUUCUAGGCUCGGCCUUACAAUAUAACAAACAAGUUUGACCUCAAAUCAGGUAGGACUACCCGCUGAACUU